rnacentral:rRNA from 1 species
UACGGAGGGUGCAAACGUUGCUCGGAAUCAUUGGGCGUAAAGCGCACGUAGGUGGCCUGUUAAGUCGGGUGUGAAAGCCCUCGGCUCAACCGAGGAAGUGCAUUCGAAACUAGCAGGCUUGAGUAUGGAAGAGGGUCGUGGAAUUCCCGGUGUAGCGGUGAAAUGCGUAGAUAUCAGGAGGAACACCGGUGGCGAAGGCGGCGACCUGGUCCUAUACUGACACUCAUACACGAAAGCGUGGGUAGCAAACAGG